AAUGGCACAUCAGUCUCUUUACCUUCUCUUCCUCGUUGUCUUAUCAUCAAUCAGCAGCCAUGUAAUUCAAGUUGAGGGUCGCCAUCUUUUGGACGCAACUUUGCCAGAUCUCCCCAUUGGCCUCCCGAAACCCGAGCUACCAACAUUACCUAUGCCCAAUCUUCCACUGCCGCAGCCUGGAUUGCCCACAUUACCUAUGCCCAAUCUUCCACUGCCACAGCCUGGAUUGCCCACAUUACCUAUGCCUAAUCUUCCUCUGCCACAACUUCCAAACCCUCAGCUGCCACCUUUGCCCAAACCGGAGUUGCCAUUACCUAUGCCAGAACUUCCCAAACCUCAGCUACCUCUGCCACAGUUGCCAAUACCAUCGCCACCUCUGCCAAGCCCUUAAGUACUAAAGUUCCUUCAAUGAAGGGAAGUGUACUACGUGCUAUCCAGGAUGACUCAUUUGUAUCAUUAUUGUCGUAUUUGUUAACCUCCUCAUGUUAAUGUUGUUAAAACUUUUGUAUGUAACUCUCUUGUUAGU
rnacentral:lncRNA from 1 species